rnacentral:rRNA from 1 species
CUACGGGGCGCUGCAGUGGGGAAUAUUGGACAAUGGGGGAAACCCUGAUCCAGCAAUGCCGCGUGUGUGAAGAAGGCCUGCGGGUUGUAAAGCACUUUCGGUUGGGAGGACUGCUUCUAGCACUAAUAUUGUUGGAAGUUGACGUUACCUUCAGAAGAAGCACCGGCUAACUCCGUGCCAGCAGCCGCGGUAAUACGGAGGGUGAAGCGUUAAUCGGAAUUACUGGGCGGAAAGCGCGCGUAGGCGGCUAGAUCAGUCGGGUGUGAAAGCCCCGGGCUUAACCUGGGAACUGCAUCCGAUACUGUCUAGCUAGAGUACAGGAGAGGAGAGUGGAAUUCCACAUGGAGCGGUGAAAUGCGUAGAUAUGUGGAGGAACACCAAUGGCGAAGGCAGCUCUCUGGCCUGAUACUGACGCUGAGGUGCGAAAGCGUGGGGAGCAAACAGGAUUAGAUACCCUCGUAGUC